rnacentral:lncRNA from 1 species
CGGGCGUUCCAAUGCUUUCUCCCAGGAAGUGGGCUCUGCAGGCUGGAGUUGCCCUAGUGUCAGGGUGAAGGCUGGGAGCCAACGUCUAAUCAUCAAGGUGAUGGAACUCUGAGGGCUGAAGGGAUGUUAAGGCACUGAGGGCCAGAGCACUUGUUCUCAUCAGCAUCAUCAUCAGCCUCAGCAUCAUUGUCACCGUAAUCAGCAUCAUUGGCAUCAGCAUCAUCAGCAUCACCACCCUCAUCAUCAUCAGUAGCAUCAAUAUCACUAUCAUCAGCAUUAGCAUCAGCAUCAUCAGCAGCAUCAGCACCAUCAGCAUCAUCGUCAUCAGGAUCAUCAGCAUCAUCAGCAGCAUCACCACCAUUAUCAGCAUCAGGAUCACCAUCUAACAUUUUUUGAGGGCUUCAAAUGCACAAGGCACUGGGCUGAUUUCUUUACAUGCAUUGUCUCACUUGUUUCCAACAAUGACAGCCCCCAAAGGAGGGAGACAGGAGUGUCAGCUGAGAGAGAAGACAUAAGAACGAAAGCGGAGGUUGGAGUGAUGUGCUUUGAAGACGGAGGAAGAGGCCAUAAGCCAAGGAAUGUAGGUUAUCCCUAGAAGCUGGAAAAGACAAGAAAACAAAUCCUUUUCUAGAGCCUCCAGAAGAAAAGGGCUCUGCUUACACCUUGAUUUUAGCCCAGUGAAACAGAUUUUGAACUUCUGACAUCUAGUACUGUAAGAUAAUACAUUUGCAUGAUUUUUACACCCUAAAAUGUGUUACAUUGUUAUAUCAGCAGUAGAAAUUUAAUACCAAAAGAUUACUGGGUGAGAUAGAAAGCUAGUUAAUGUCCAACAGGGCUAUCAACUAUAACCCUUGGAGCUAAUUCUUCUACCAGAGUUAAAUUAUUUGCUUCUCUGCGGGACCAAAAUUUACAAGUAAA